rnacentral:tRNA from 1 species
GCAGUGGUGGUUCUGUGGCAGAAUUCUCAUCUUCCAUGUGGGAGACCCGGGUUCUAUUCCAGGCCACUGCU